ACACACUUCAAUCAAUGGCCGUGCCAAG
rnacentral:sRNA from 1 species